rnacentral:tRNA from 1 species
AAUAAGAUAAGCUAAAUAGAAAGCUGUUGGGCUCAUACCCCAAAAAUGAGAAAGAUCUCUCUUAUUA